UCCUCACUGUCAUCUACCUCGCCCCACCCACCUCAGGCAGAGUCAAGGCAGACCUGUGUCUCUGUUCUUCGCCGCCCAAGGAGAAUCCACCAGACGGAGCAAAGGCGGACGAACAGCACCCUCGCCGUGGAGCUGGUCGACGGCGGCUAGGCUUACCCUCCUCCGUCAGUCAGCCGGGGCAGGCCUAAGCAAGAGGAUUUCUAAUCAAGGGGCCUUAGUUCUAGACGAUGAAGAUGUCCGAUUUAUUUAGUGGGAUUCAAGCAGCUAUGGUUAUCAAUCGAGUAGAGAACAGCGAGCAGUCACCUGAAGAUUGGAAUAGCGACUGUGAUGGAUCCGGUGGUUCAUCAGGUUUGCCAGGCACGCCGUGCUUUACGUCCAGGCUAUCUUUGCUCAAAGUUGGUUCGGUCAUAGGCCAGUUUAGUGAUUUUAAGCGACAGUUAAUCAAGGAAACCGGAUUCGAUGGAAUGCUAGAGCUCAAAUCAUGGCAGAAGAUCAGCCUUAAGUACAACGCUUACCUAAUGGAUAGGGUUGAUGUAGAUUCCAGCAUAAUAAAUUUAGAGGGCCAAGGUGUGCUUGAAUUACGUGACCAACACUUUAAUUAUGUUUUUGGCAUCCCAUGUGGUAAUACAGUCAUAGAAGGUGAAGGCAUGGAGCCGUCAGAAGCAUGUAUUGAGUACACGCGUGUGGCUGCAUCAUUUAGCGAAAGAGGCACGCACAGUCUUAAAGCGGCUGAGGCGUACUUAAAUCGAGCCAUCACAGAAUCGUCCACACAGAUAGAGAAGGACUGUUUCAAGAUUGCAUUUGUUAUUUUUGUAGUCGGUCAUGUACUUGCUCCUACUGCUAAGCACGAUUAUAUAUCGAUAGACUUUUGGGCUGCACUGAAUGAUAUCAGCAAGAUAAAGGAUUGGAAUUGGGGAGGAUAUGUACUGAAGCAUCUGUUCCAAGCUGUGAGGAAGGUCAAAGCAGAUGUGUCCAAGAGAAACCCAACUGUCCACAUAGUUGGCUGUCAUCUGUUCCUGCAGAUAGUCUUGAUCUAGGCGUUCUAAACAUGUUGCGAAGUGUAACACCGCGGAUAGGUCUGUACAACUAUGAUGCGAUGAAGAAGAUGGUGGAAAAAAUUACAGUCAAUGUUGGUGCGGGUGAAGUUUCCUUCCACGGUGCAACGGUACGGACCGAGCUGUCAGUGAGCAAUCUAAUUGGCUUCCCUUCUAAGAAAUGUCCCACAGCAAAGCCGGCACCGGCUCCCAAGAGGGGAAACGCCACAUGCACACCGAUGUUGCGAAGUAGUUAUGCCAAAACUGGUCCGCAGGAGUUUUCAAAUUACAUACGAACACGCUACCCAAGUAUAUCAGCGCAGAAGCUUGGUAUACUUCUACGGGAGCAGAAUGCUCGCGGCCUAGCAAACAUAUCAGAAAUGCGUCAAGCGUUCCAGUCCAAUAUGUUUAAUUUCACAGACAAGCUUAUGUCAUGCUUAGCAGAGAGUUGCACUUGUUGUAAGGCACAUGGCAACAAAAAAUGCAUCUUGGAAAACGAAGGAACAAAUACUUACGAUCCCCCCCCUCAUGUAUCAACAGAUCAAACUCAAUUCUGCACGCCGUUAGCCAGCAAGAUUGGACCCCGACUACCAGCACCAGGCAACCCUGGAGGUUGCCUGUCUGUCAAUAGUUCCGUGUCUAGGAAAAGAGAUGGCAGUUUAUCAUCAAGCAUACAGUCGGGCACAGCAAAGAAAACAUGUUCACGAGAGACAGAGACUGCCCUCGCCGCAACACCAACAUGUGCGCAAGAACCACUCAAUCAAAUCCCCAUAUCCCAGGAUGCAACUGUCAAGGAAUUUGCGAGCAAAAUUGCUGCUUUUUAUGAUGACCUUACAUCCAUCUUGGUUACUUACUAUGCUGAGAUACGUCCAACACCCGGAUUCAUAUUGUUUGGAUCAACCACCGAUGGAGCACAUUUGAAGAUCGAUCUCCCUCAAUGCAAAUUUGGAAGAGAUCCUUGGGUCGCCGGAUCAGUCCCAGUGCCACCAAACCCAACUGUACUCAAGGCCAUAAAAGACUGGAUGAGUGCAACCUCGAUGUUAAACCUUGAGAGGAAAUGGAUCGUGCAUCCUAAGCCAAGACUCGUAACAUUAGAGGGUGUUGAAAUCCAGCGUCAGCUUGCAUCUAACGAUGCAAUGACCCAUGAGAUGGCUACAGCUAUUUUUCGUAGGCUUGGGCAAGUUGAUUUGUUUUUCUCAAAGGACAGUACUGGACAGAUAUGGAGGAAAUUCGUCGAGCCCGACUUUGCUACAACUGUUUUAUCGAACGCCGACCCAAUGACCGUACAAUCAAUCAGGGCCAGCUUCCAAGAAGGAACAACAUCCUGCAACCCAGCUUCGUGCCGAAUGUGGUACAUCCCGACGAUACUGCCUGAUGGUUGGACUGUCUAUGCUUUUGAUAUGUUGCGCAAAAGAAUAAUUGUAUUAGACCCAGCAGUUGGCCCGUUUGGCUAUAGCAACCGCCGAGUCAGCAUGCAUGAAUUUGUUAGCAACAAACUCCAUGCCGCGUUGUUCACAUGCCUCCAGAAUUUCUUCAGCUCUUGGCAUUGUGAAUCAAGCCACUAGGGGCGCACUUUUCCGAUCAUAAUGAGGGAAAAGAUUGAGAAACUGGGUUGUGUGCCACCUUCUUUGCAUGGAAUUACGAUGGCGACAAGCUACAGAUACCACUAAACGAAGACACACUUGCAUCACACAACAGCCUAAUGAUCUACGAACUAAUGAGGAUGCAAGGCAACCAAACUCCAGUAGCAAACGACGCCCUUGAAGCGGUCAAAGUAUCAUUCACUGCUCUUUAGAAUACCGUUCUAACUACCGGAAAUUUCUUUCCAACUGGAUUGUAUUAUAACUAGAGAUUACAACCAUUUCACGGGCCACCUGGCACAAAACUAUGUCUGACGAUCGGUUACUACUUAUGUGUGUCGAGUGCAAAUUUCUAGCACA